rnacentral:lncRNA from 1 species
AUGAAAUUCGGCAGAUGUCGGGAGCGCAGAUCAAAAUCGCCAACGCCACAGAAGGAUCAUCGGAGCGCCAAAUUACCAUCACAGGAACCCCUGCAAACAUCAGCCUCGCGCAGUACCUCAUCAACGCCAGGUGAGCCCGCCUCCCGCCUCGGCCGAUCCCGGCCCGCCUCGGCCGAUCCCGGCCCGCCAGCGAGCUGGGAGCAAUCCGUGCUUCCGGUGCCAUGGGUCAGCAGGGGCUUCCCAAGGCCGGCUGGGAUGGACGAUGUCUUGCUGAGACCUCUGAGCAGGGACCAGAUAUCGCCAGCAGGACAUCUCCUCCCAGCCGGCACUUUGGCUGGAGACCGGGAGCCGUCACGCUGCUGGCGGAGUUCCGCCGGGCUCCUGCCCUUCCCGCCGCCUUCGCUGAAGGAUUUUGCUCGGGGGUGGGCAAAGUUGCCGCCGUCUUUGCCUCUGGACGAGGCCGGGGAUGGGGACAGGAGCAGAGCUGAGCCGGUGGCAGGGAGGCGUCACUUGGGAGCUGCUUGCUGGCGUCCCAGCAUCGCUUACUGCUUUCCACGUGCUUCCAGGCCUCCCAAAGGCUUUUCUCCAUUCAGUGAAAACUGUCAGUCCAAUAAACGCAGGACAUGGGAACGGCCCGACUGCUUCCUUUCCAUCAUGAAAAGCUUGGCACUGCAGGACUUCACGGGCGCCAAGGGUUCGCAGCACUGCCGCUGGCUGGGGGGAGACGCAGCACAUGCCAUGGGGGGCCGAGGGCCGGCAAGGGCCUGCGAGGGGAGCGUGCAGGGGAGGCGUAGCUGCAGAGAAGAGCUGGGAAUCUGCUUCCUGCAGGCAGCAAGCUGUGUCCAGGCUGCUUGCUCAGACCUGUUUGCCCGUGCCUGCGGACGCAUGGAGAGCGAGUUUAAAGGGAUACAGGACCUUCCUGGUAGCUUUGUGCCUGCCUGGCAGAGCCACUCAGACGGGCCCAUCCGCCUGGGCAGGACCGAUGCCGUGCCAACCCGCCGCCAGCCCCGGAUGCACGCAGGAGGGAGGCUGCUGGCAGCGCCCUGA